rnacentral:rRNA from 1 species
CAAUAGCGUAUAUUAAAGUUGUUGCAGUUAAAAAGCUCGUAGUUGGAUUUCUGGGAGAGUGGCGAUGUCCGCUUAACGUGUGUGCAGCGACGCUCUUCCAUCCUUCUGUUAGCGUCUCUCGGCAUUCAUUUGUCGGUGGCGGGCUCAGAUAUUUUACCUUGAGAAAAUUAGAGUGUUUCAGGCAGGCUAGGCCGGAAUACAUUAGCAUGGAAUAAUGGAAUAGGACUACGGUCUCUUUGUUGGUUUGAGGGACUGCAGUAAUGAUUAAUAGGGAUAGUUGGGGGCAUUAGUAUUUAAUUGUCAGAGGUGGAAUUCUCAGAUUUGUUAAAGACUAACUUAUGCGAAAGCAUUUGCCAAGGAUGUUUUCAUUAA